AAGUCGUAACAAGGUAUCCGUAGGUGAACCUGCGGAUGGAUCAUUACAGUAUUGACUGCUAUGUAGUCUUACACCUAUUCAACCACUGUGCAUUGUUACGUGACGUUCGCGUCACCACACUUUCACCAAUGAUUGAAUAACACAUACAUAAAAUGCGCAUAUAACUUUUAGCAACGGAUCUCUAGGCUCUC
rnacentral:misc_RNA from 1 species